rnacentral:rRNA from 1 species
CCUACGGGAGGCAGCAGUAGGGAAUAUUGCUCAAUGGGGGAAAGACUGAAGCAGCAAAGCCGCGUGGAGGAUGAAGGUUUUAGGAUUGUAAACCCCUUUUGUGAGAGAAGAAAAUGACGGUAUCUCACGAAUAAGCACUGUAUAACUCCGUGCCAGCAGCCGCGGUAAUACGGAGGGGGCAAGCGUUACUCGGAAUCACUGGGCGUAAAGAGUGCGUAGGCGGGGUGGUAAGUGAGAUGUGAAAUCCUGUAGCUUAACAUCAGAACUGCAGUUGAAACUGUGAGUCUAGAGUGUGGGAGAGGUAGGUGGAAUUCUUGGUGUAGCGGUGAAAGCCGUAGAUAUCAAGAGGAAUACUCAUUGCGAAGGCGACCUACUGGAACAUUACUGACGCUCAUGCACGAAAGCGUGGGGAGCAAACAGGAUUAGAUACCCGAGUAGUC